GACAGAGGGUGCAAGCGUUGUUCGGAAUUAUUGGGCGUAAAGGGCGCGUAGGUGGCCAUGUAAGUCAGAUGUGAAAUCCCUGGGCUCAACCCAGGAAGUGCAUCUGAUACUGCGUGGCUUGAGUUCCGGAGAGGAUGGUGGAAUUCCCAGUGUAGAGGUGAAAUUCGUAGAUAUUGGGAGGAACACCGGUGGCGAAGGCGACCAUCUGGACGAGAACUGACACUGAGGCGCGAAAGCGUGGGGAGCAAACAGG
rnacentral:rRNA from 1 species